UGAUCUUGAGGUGCUCGGAUUGGAAACGGGACCCUGUUUGACCUACUUCCCCCCUUCCAUCCCGGAUUCAAUCCCCACAUCCUACCCACCGGAUCCAAUCCAGAUCAGCGCUCCACGAGAGCGAGGCGCGGCUGGCGGCGCAUGAAGGCAAGGGCGAGAGCGACGGCGCGCGAGGUGACAGCGCACCGGCACAGCGGCACACCGGUGGCGAGCUUGUCCACCGCCGCCUUCUCACCAAUCCCACUGUACCAUUUAGAGUUGGGGAAGACGAACCUCCCCCUUCUUGGGAUCCGGUACCAACUCCAAAAGAUUGGUGAUGCUUUUGACUGCAUUGUUCUUUCUGCAAAAUACAUGGUGCUUUCUAUAUCCUUUAGCUCAAAGUUCUUUUCUUUCUCUGUGCCUUUAGGAUGUCUUAUACUACUAAAAUGUGAAUAAUAGUAGUGCAUAUAUGAAAUGUUAUGUUCAAGGAACAAGCUUUAGGGAACAGCAAUAGUUCAUCUCUACUCAAUUUUUUUGCAUAUCUUCUAUAUUGAGUUCCUGUCAUUCACUUUGCUAAACACUGAACAGAGUCAUUCAUCUAGUUAAACUGUGUUCCUAUCAUUCACUUUGCUGCAGCUAAGUAAAUUAGGCCAUGACAUGAUUUCUUGAACAUAUUUUGUUACCUAACUAUACAAUAAGCUGCUAAUCAAGCUCGUGAUUAAAUAAAGUGUAGUGCAACAAUAUGUUGACUAACCCAUAUCUCUGUGGUUUAGCUGUGUGAAGGAAGAUGGUGUCAAGAAGGAUGAGUAAAUAAGCAAUCAAUUUCUUGAGUUAGCUUGUUAGAACUUGUACAAUCAUGUAGAGAAGGGGGACCAUAUAGACCUUGAAUCUGUAGGAUUAUGAUUUAUGAUCACUGUGUUGGUUCUCAAUCUGAGUUCAAGUUUGUCAGAUAGCUGAUUUGAUUUUUUUUCACUCUAUUUAGAUAGCUGAUUCAUUUUGACAACCAUCCUGCACUUUAUUUGUCAGUGUUUCUUGCUGGAACUGACCAAAUAUAGCCCAGACUGCCACCAUCUUGUAUAUGCUUGUACAGUAUUGAGUUAGUACACCAUUUUUGCUUAA